AAGACUUUACAUCGUGGACACACUGUACUUUCCAGCCAAACGCCGACUGGACAUCCCCCAAACCGUCCAGAAACCAGGUGCAGCUGCAGGUCUUAAGAGCCCCCCAGCUCUUCCCUCUGUUUCGAACAACCUCACACCACAUCAACAGACAUGAUCAUCAGACUGGGCAGACUGACACCUGGAUACUUCCGCCUCCUCCAGAGGCAAGUUGCCGGUGAGGUGCAGACGCAGCCACAAGACCGUGCCGUCAACCAGAUCGCCAUGAUGCUGGCCAUCAUGGGCCUGAGUCUGUCCUACUACAGUGCCAAACAGAUGACUGAGAAGGUCCACGUCCAGCCUGCGCCCUGAAAACACACGGCUGCUCUGAUGAUAGAGAUGAUGGAGAUGAUGGAUGAGCCGAUGAGAAGCGAAGGAGGUGGAGCGAGAUAGGGGUGGGAAGACGCCGCAGAGACACAGCGGUGUCUUCCAGGACCACACACUUUUCUAACCUCACAGUCAUAGUCGCAUACAGACACUGAAUUUCUGGGAUCCCUCACCCUGCGCAGAUACUUCAGGGCAGUUCAAAGUGAUUUCUAUAUUUUCUGCUGUUGGGACCUUGGGGGGGUUUGGGGAUGGAUCACUUGGGGCUAUGGAUAAGACUGGUUUAUGGACUGGUUUUGGGGGUUGAUCAAAACCAGCUGACUGCCAACUGGGUCUGACCGUUAGUUGUUACAAAGGUACAUGCUUGCAAGAUGCUGUCAAUACUGUUCUGAGCUACAAAAAGGGAAAAAUACUCUUAUAACUGUGAAUUCUGCUCAAAGCCUGAACCAAAUGGGGUUAAAUGAUGAACGGUAAUGUCGUCUUUUUAAGGGAAAGGCUGACUGCAAUUGAGAUGUACCUUGUAACAAAGUGAUGGCAGACCCAUGUUUUAAAGGGGAUGAAAAUUAGCCCAACCUUUUUUUGUUUUGGUUUUUGCUUCAUGAGAGAACCUUGCAGAGCCUUGUGAACAGAUAGGGAUCUGUAUUCACAAAUUGUCAAUAUGAUAUACUUGUGAAAUGUAUCUGCCAGGUGUCAGAAAUUCAGUGAAUAGUUGUGCAGAAAAGUUUUAACUGCUACAAUAGAUCUGCACAGGGUUUUCAAACUACCCACUACCUAUUUUUCAUUUUGUAAUGGUUUUUGUUUCCUGUGAUUUCAAACAGUUUUAACACAAAUCAAUGAAGUCCUGUUAAAAUGAUGUGUGACGACCUUAAUAAGCACCCUGGUUAAGAACACAAUCUGCUACAUGUUAAUGUAAACAUUUAACCAUACUGAACAUUGCAUGGGUGUGCAGACUUUCAAUCAAUGCAAAAUGAAUAAGUAUCCUGUUUUGAUGAUGAAUGUAUUACUUUAUUUUGUAAUGAUUUAAUAAAGCUGUGAAUAUUUUGAGAUGUACAGUGGAAACUUAGUGAUUAUUUAAAAAUAUUGAUUGCUAACUCUGAUCAGUAACAAACUCUUGUUUCUCUACAAAAUGAAGUCGGUCUCUGCAGUUGAGUUUAAACAGUUCCUUGUUUGGCACGGGGGCCUGCAGCUGUAUUUUUUUUUUCUUUCUUCCGUAUUCUCCAGUUAGUGAACCAUCUGCACAUGCAAGCCCAGCUUUAUAGUGAAUUUGCAAAAAUGUGGUUAGGAGAUGGCUUUGAUUGUCAGAAUAGAGGGUUGGUGCAAUAAAGGUAUUGAAGGAAGGAAUCUCGAGGUGUAAGGAGAAAAUGCUCAACAACUCUUCGUUCUUUUUACUUUGUUAUGAGCAUGUAGUCUUCUUUACUAGAGAUUGGAUUACAGACGGUAGGCUUUAAGGAAAGCAUAAAGAUGGAAUGUUAAAGCAUAUAGUAAGACUAUACAACUGAAGGAUGUUCGUAGCGAUGAGGGAUUAUUAUUUGUAUGGUUAGCUUGUAAAUGUGCCUUAAAGUGAUGUCACUAGAUGGCAAAUUAGAGAACAAAUGGGUCCGGCCCUCCACAUUAGGAGUCAAUCCCUCACACGGGGUACAUUCUUGAGGUUUUAAAGACCUAUUUCCUCAGUGACAUGGGUAUAUAUCGGUUAUUGUAAGACAUCGCGCUUUGAUCCCCUGCAACAUGGACACGUUUGAGGCGGAUUGGUUCGUGCAUUUUUGCAUGCCCUGCUUUCUCCUACAGGGCGUAGAGUUUAGAAAGUGCGCAUGCCUGUUCACCGUCUGAUGUGAUGUCGUGUGACAGGCUGAGACCUCGUUGGGCGCCACGUGCCUCUCUGCCCACGCCACAAGCUCCUCCCCCUCACCCCCCCCACUCGAACAUCACUGGGCAAAUAUCCCACUUUGCCGUUUCGGUGAUGCUAGGCUCAGGACACAACCCUUAACUCGGGGCACCCAUUGGCUAACCAGUGAUGCGUCACCAAAAUCGGCCUGGUUCUGAGCCACAGAGACAAAGGGAAGGGGGGGGGGAAUGUGGAUGAGGAGGUUCAUUAUGAGGGAUGGAAGUGGGGGCUUCCUUUCCUUUGUUUUAUUUAUUUAAACGUCUAAUGAAUUCUCUCAACGUGGCAUAAAAGUACACUCGGGAUAGACGUGGACGUAUCAAUUCAAACUAAGCAAGGAUCUGCAGAUGGGGUUUUUUUAGAUGUUGGGGAAGGCCUUAAUGACAUUUUUUGUUAUCCAGGAAUGGGUGAGAUUUGCAGCUGCAGGUGUAAAACAUAACCAGGACUGAAGCUCAAUCGCAGUUGACCGUCAAAUGUAAUAUUCUCAAUCUUUAAGAAGGGAUUUUGAUAGCAAUAUGCUGAACUUGUGUUCAUGAUGAUUCUAUAUAGCAGUGUGAGUUUGUUGCUUCUGUAUAAUUGUGUAUAAUAACUAUGACCUGAUUUUCGACAGUCUGUAUAAUAGAAAAAUCCUGUACAUUUGAUCAGAUGCAAUUCAGCACUUUAGAUAUGUUUUUGUUUCAAAAAGUAUCAUACUGUUUUUGUGGAAGAGGAAGGUUUUGAGCCUUGCAAGGCCAACCUGUGAACAUAUAUCAUGCGUUGCUGCUUUUUGCUCAAUAAAUAUAUUCAGAUUUCA